UAUUCUCAGGGCGGGGUGAAAGUCCCCACCGGCGGUAAACCAUAAGGCGUAGCCAUAUGGAAGCCCGCGAGCGCUUGGGUUUGACAAAUUCAAACUUAAGGUCAGCAGAUCCGGUGUAAUUCCGGGGCCGACGGUUAAAGUCCGGAUGGGAGAGGGUA
rnacentral:ncRNA from 1 species